GACGAACGCUGGCGGCGUGCCUAAUACAUGCAAGUUGAGCGAUGAAGAUUGGUGCUUGCACCAAUUUGAAGAGCAGCGAACGGGUGAGUAACGCGUGGGGAAUCUGCCUUUGAGCGGGGGACAACAUUUGGAAACGAAUGCUAAUACCGCAUAACAACUUUAAACAUAAGUUUUAAGUUUGAAAGAUGCAAUUGCAUCACUCAAAGAUGAUCCCGCGUUGUAUUAGCUAGUUGGUGAGGUAAAGUCUCACCAAGGCGAUGAUACAUAGCCGACCUGAGAGGGUGAUCGGCCACAUUGGGACUGAGACACGGCCCAAACUCCUACGGGAGGCAGCAGUAGGGAAUCUUCGGCAAUGGACGAAAGUCUGACCGAGCAACGCCGCGUGAGUGAAGAAGGUUUUCGGAUCGUAAAACUCUGUUGGUAGAGAAGAACGUUGGUGAGAGUGGAAAGCUCAUCAAGUGACGGUAACUACCCAGAAAAGGACGGCUAACUACGU
rnacentral:rRNA from 1 species